ensembl:lncRNA
GGGACUUUUCAUGUCUGGAGAUACUAGAAUUUCAGGUUUUAUUGCUGCGAGUUCUAUUAAAAGACUUUGUGGAACCUAGGAGGAAAUCAAAAUUAUCUUUCAAAAGGCGAUAAGUUAUAUAAAUAUGUGCACAAACAGAAAUGUGUCUCUGAAGGUAUUAGUUCUGCAUAAUUUCAGAUGAGUAGCUACUAGGCCUCAAAGGAAACAGCGCAUCUUGAAAUGCUCUGAAGGCUUACACUGGCCAAAAGAAGGCAGGACUUUAGCGAAAUUAGAAGUAACUUUGUAGCCAACGAUGUGCUGUAUGUCCUGGUUCCCUUUAAUAGCAUUAGGCGUUCAGACCAUAAAGACUAAUCUGGAGAGUAGAAGUUCCUGCUCUCUGCUUUGAUCUCCUUCCUCUUGGCUGUUUAAAGCUGACAGUUUGGCUGAAUGGCAUUCACCGCUUUCAUUUGUAAGACACGAGUUUCCUAGUGUUCCAGAGCUAGCAGCUACACCUGUACCGCAGGAAUUUACAUCGCAUUGCUCCAGGAUGGCAUUGAUUUGGGACGGGCGAAAUACAAACACAAACUAAUUAAAACCUGCAUAAUGCGGCCCUACAGGAACAAGACAGAAAAACAAAUAAAUACAACUGCAGCUGGCAGGGCAAUUGUGCCUCUGCCCUCGAGCAACAGUCUGGUGACAUCAAAUUACAAACCUUAAAAAUCUCCCGUAAUUGCAGUUGAUCAUUUCGGAGACAAAAUGGAAAUUGUGCUGUUAAUUAAGUUCGGAUCCGUAAAAUAUUCAUGAUAGGUGGGCAGACGGACGGACAGGCAGAUAGCGAGAGGUGGAUGAUUCAUCCUAUAGGUUUGUCGGCUUGUUUAUACAGGCCCGUGUGCAGAGCUCAAACAAUUCAUAUGCAAAAGCGCUAAGGAAGAGCUCCGCGUUCCCCUUGCUAUCAGAAAUAAAUACGUGUUGCAACUGAUAAAGGACUAAUCAGAACACACUACCGGGAUACUGGGAAAAAAAGAACAGUUUUUCUUAGUUUGCUAAAAUAUAUAGAUAGAGAGAGAAAUGACCGUAAUAUUUGUAAUGCCCUCUUUGUCUGAAUAACACCGUCUUUGUAAACGCUUUAUCAGCUGUUACCCCGAGUGCAGUCAAACGUUUCGGACUUCGAUCCCUCCCUGCACUACCCAUACCUACGUGCUCGCUUUUAGGGAAUCCACCAGGUAUGCAACUUUGUGCUUGUCUGGACAAACCAAACCAUUCGUUUGUACGGUCAGAGGGCUGGAGGCUGCUGUCGCUAUUCCCUCCUGCGCGUUCUUUCCACGGGAAAGAAAAUUGACACUGUCCAAUAACCGAAGUGAUCAUCUGAAAUCUCUUCGUCUGCUACCGGUGCGAGCUCAAAACCCAGAGAGGAUUUGCAGGAGAACUCGUUGCCAGGAUGUUUCAAAGAAUUAAAGGAAAACUUUUUUUCUUCCCCAGCCCUAAACCAGGCGCUGUAGCGCUUAAGCUUCCCUUUCUUUUGGGUCGAUCUUUAUGAGGAGCGCCGCUUUUUGCUCGCAGCUCCGUGCGCACGUGUAUCCCUAUGCAGAUACAGCGCAAAAUGCGUGGAAAUAACGCGGCUGAAGCCUAGCUUAAUAGAUAUCUCAGCUCCAUUCUCAAAUUGUGCUCUGCUCAGUAUCUUAUCCUCCCCGUAGUUAGGUGUCUCCUUUCAACGUCUCUGUCAUCUCCAUUUGAAGAUAUUUUCAGCGGUUUAUCACUGCCAUCUCCAGCCCUGCACAUUUGCAGCAGGUUAUCACAAUUGCCAGUCCCCUCUGGCUGAUGUGUUGUGCUGAUUACCAUCAGUGCCCUGAGAUAUUUGGUGCGGAUUCCCAGCACUGCAAUAUCCACUCUUAGGACAUCUGGAGCAGAUCAAAAUCACUGACUUCAUUUUUUUAGUAGAGUCAGUGUUCGAGCUCCGCAGCCCCUUUGCAGACAUCGCCUUCAGUCAGUUCCUGCAGAACCAGCCUUUGGUUAAAAUUCGGCCAAGCAGCGACCCCUAUGUCUGGAUUUGCAUUUCUUAUCGGACCCCUAUCUCAACUGAUUUGUUCAUAAUAAAAAGAAAAUCUCUUGGCAGCAAAUGCAUCGCCUUAAGAAACUGGAAGGAGCCCACUGUCUUAGCUAACCGCUUCUCGAGAAAGGCUCUUUAAGGAGAACUUUAUCUACCCGAUGAUCUCUGAAUUAUACGAGCGUGGCCAUUUAGGUCGAUUUACUUUAAACAGCAUACAAUUUAUUUUAAGCGAUUACCUCAGGUGUAAUCACAUUACACCCAGCGCCGCUAUCUAUUUCUCUCCCGCUUGUUUUCAGACGGGCGCCCGCUCUCCAGCGGAAAGGUGACAGUGUCCCACUCUGAUCCCAGUUCCUCCUUCGCUACGGGACUCCUCGGUGCUAAUGAGUUGGAACCGCGCUCCUUUUCCUUAGGAUCUGCCGAAAGUUAAGGAGACAUUGGAGCAACUAAAACACGG